rnacentral:lncRNA from 1 species
UCCUCCUCUCCAUGCGCAUAAGAAAGCCCCACGCCAACUAGUUUUUGGACGCCCAAAAGGAAAAGUUUUGCGUGAGUUUUUAGCGUGUAAGAACCAUGGGAAACUCUCCUAUUUCCGUGUGAUAUCUGGCGCAAACAAAAAAUGGGUGGGUGGCAUAAUAAAGAGAGAGUCCAAGGCUACUUGGACUCUUAUCUCCUAUCUAAACUCUAUCUCCAAUUUUUAUUUAAACCUAGCACCAUAUGGGGUGUUUGAUGGGCUGAUUGUGAUCAGGUUUUGACACCACAAACCAGAGAAAAAGUGCAUGAAAAACCAAGGAAGAAAGACACGGUGUGAAGGUCAUGGGCGUGAGGCAAUAUGCUUCAUAUCCUCUUUUUCUUACAACAACCAAAGGUUGGUUGUUAGGACAUCUUCUCUCCCAUCUUUUGUCUAUGUUUGAACAUGGAUUUUUCUUCUUCUCUUUGUCCAAAAGUUGGACAAAAUUCUUAUAUCUCUAGUGUAGAGAUUUGGUGCAUAAAUUUUAAAAAGAAAAAAGAAGAAAAAGUUCUUCUCAUAAUCUCUAAUGUAGAAAUCAACAUCCUCCUAUGUUUUUCUUCUUCUCUAAGAGUGUCUUGAGAAAAAAAAAUAUUUUCAACCAUCAAGAUGCGAUCUCUGCAAUGGAGCUAGCACCCUGAUGAGAUCAAAAAGCUUCUGAUCAGAUCGAAAUCUCGUGUGGAUAUCCAUAAAAGUCGGACAGUUGUGCGGCUUUAAGGGCCCUUCGGAAGACAUCCAUGAUCAUCAGUUCGCGGUGAAGAUUGAUCAAUGCCAUGAUAUGUUCUCUAUUUAUUUUUCUCUAUUUGAUUUCUGUAUCUAAAUCUUAUCUCACAUAUGA